rnacentral:rRNA from 1 species
GAUGAACGCUGGCGGCGUGCUUAACACAUGCAAGUCGAACGAACCUUCGGGUUAGUGGCGGACGGGUGAGUAACGCGUGAGAAUCUGCCCUCAGGAGGGGGAUAACAGCUGGAAACGGCUGCUAAUACCCCAUAUGCCGCGAGGUGAAAUGAAUUUCGCCUGAGGAUGAGCUCGCGUCUGAUUAGCUAGUUGGUGUAGGUAAUGGCUCACCAAGGCAUCGAUCAGUAGCUGGUCUGAGAGGAUGAUCAGCCACACUGGGACUGAGACACGGCCCAGACUCCUACGGGAGGCAGCAGUGGGGAAUUUUCCGCAAUGAGCGAAAGCCUGACGGAGCAACGCCGCGUGAGGGAUGAAGGCCUCUGGGCUGUAAACCUCUUUUAUCAAGGAAGAAGAUCUGACGGUACUUGAUGAAUAAGCCACGGCUAAUUCCGUGCCAGCAGCCGCGGUAAUACGGGAGUGGCAAGCGUUAUCCGGAAUUAUUGGGCGUAAAGCGUCCGCAGGCGGCCCUUCAAGUCUGCUGUUAAAAAGUGGAGCUUAACUCCAUCAUGGCAGUGGAAACUGAGGGGCUCGAGUGUGGUAGGGGCAGAGGGAAUUCCCCGGUGUAGCGGUGAAAUGCGUAGAUAUCGGGAAGAACACCAGUGGCGAAGGCGCUCUGCUGGGCCAUCACUGACGCUCAUGGACGAAAGCCAGGGGAGCGAAAGGGAUUAGAUACCCCUGUAGUCCUGGCCGUAAACGAUGAACACUAGGUGUCGGGGGAAUCGACCCCCUCGGUGUCGUAGCCAACGCGUUAAGUGUUCCGCCUGGGGAGUACGCACGCAAGUGUGAAACUCAAAGGAAUUGACGGGGGCCCGCACAAGCGGUGGAGUAUGUGGUUUAAUUCGAUGCAACGCGAAGAACCUUACCAGGGUUUGACAUCCUGCGAAUCUCUUGGAAACGAGAGAGUGCCUUCGGGAACGCAGUGACAGGUGGUGCAUGGCUGUCGUCAGCUCGUGUCGUGAGAUGUUGGGUUAAGUCCCGCAACGAGCGCAACCCACGUCUUUAGUUGCCAGCAUUUAGUUGGGCACUCUAGAGAGACCGCCGGUGAUAAACCGGAGGAAGGUGUGGAUGACGUCAAGUCAUCAUGCCCCUUACAUCCUGGGCUACACACGUACUACAAUGCUACGGACAAAGGGCAGCAAGUUCGCGAGGACAAGCAAAUCCCAUAAACCGUGGCUCAGUUCAGAUCGUAGGCUGCAACUCGCCUACGUGAAGGAGGAAUCGCUAGUAAUCGCAGGUCAGCAUACUGCGGUGAAUACGUUCCCGGGCCU